rnacentral:tRNA from 3 species
GGACGCAUAGCUCAGUUGGUUAGAGUACUACGUUGACAUCGUAGGGGUCACUGGUUCGAACCCAGUUGCGUCCA